GACGAACGCUGGCGGCGUGCUUAACACAUGCAAGUCGAACGGUGAAGCGAGUGCUUGCACUCGUGGAUCAGUGGCGAACGGGUGAGUAACACGUAAGUAACCUGCCCAUCACUCUGGGAUAAGCACUGGAAACGGUGUCUAAUACUGGAUACGACCAACCCUUGCAUGGGGUGUUGGUGGAAAGAUUUAUCGGUGAUGGAUGGACUCGCGGCCUAUCAGCUUGUUGGCGGGGUAAUGGCCCACCAAGGCGACGACGGGUAGCCGGCCUGAGAGGGUGACCGGCCACACUGGGACUGAGACACGGCCCAGACUCCUACGGGAGGCAGCAGUGGGGAAUAUUGCACAAUGGGCGAAAGCCUGAUGCAGCGACGCCGCGUGAGGGAUGACGGCCUUCGGGUUGUAAACCUCUUUCAGCAGGGAAGAAGCGAAAGUGACGGUACCUGCAGAAGAAGCACCGGCUAACUACGUG
rnacentral:rRNA from 1 species